AGGACCACAACAGAUAUUCGUGCUGGUGUAGAGUUAUCAGUCUGUGGGGGAGAGGUUCUAGAACAACACCAUUUUCUCUCUUCCUUUGCAUGUUAGAAGUACAGUGUUUGCAAGAUUAUCUGAGUGAAGCGAAAGGGGAUCCCCUGUCCUAAUUAAAUAUGACUCAUGUGUCCUGUUGGUUCUGAACCAAAGAGGCUGGCACUUCAUCUGAAGACAAUGAAAAGGUUCCUGUUCAACUUCAGUGGGCAUCAGAACAGACCCUAGCAGACUGUCCCGGAAAAGAGAAGAACUGCCUAGAGGCCUCAACAGAGAUUGGAGUAGCAUUGUGCAAGACUCUCUACAGAACAACCCCCCAGUCCCUCUGAGGACGAACAGAGAUGAUUUGGCUAACAGCAUCUGUCUCCA